UCAGAUUGUAUUUUGCUUCUUUUAUUCAAAAAAAGGGGGCAAUUAGUCUUUGUAUGUUAGACCAAAGAGCAAACUAGUCAUUUUUGUUAAAAAUUCCAUCAAUUUAUACAGUUAAAAAAUAUGACGUGCCAUGUCUAUAGGGACCGAUUUUUUAAUAGUAGAAAUAUAUGAGAUUUUUAACAAAAAGGAUCCAUUUGCUUUUUGAUUUAAUGUACAAGGAUUAAUUUGCUCACUUUUUGAGUACAGGGGACAAAAUACAAUCUAA
rnacentral:pre_miRNA from 1 species